GCAGUCUGCAACUCGAGUGCAUGAAGCUGGAAUCGCUAGUAAUCGCGGAUCAGAAUGCCGCGGUGAAUACGUUCCCGGGUCUUGUACACACCGCCCGUCACACCAUGGGAGUCGGGAAUGCCCGAAGCCGGUGGCCCGAUCGAGAGAAGGGAGCCGUCGAAGGCAGGCCGGAUGACUGGGGUGAAGUCGUAACAAGGUAAC
rnacentral:rRNA from 1 species